AGCGAACGCUGGCGGCAGGCUUAACACAUGCAAGUCGAACGGGCAUCUUCGGAUGUCAGUGGCAGACGGGUGAGUAACACGUGGGAACGUACCCUUCGGUUCGGAAUAACUCAGGGAAACUUGAGCUAAUACCGGAUACGCCCUUUUGGGGAAAGGUUUACUGCCGAAGGAUCGGCCCGCGUCUGAUUAGCUUGUUGGUGGGGUAACGGCCUACCAAGGCGACGAUCAGUAGCUGGUCUGAGAGGAUGAUCAGCCACACUGGGACUGAGACCCGGCCCAGACUCCUACGGGAGGCAGCAGUGGGGAAUAUUGGACAAUGGGCGCAAGCCUGAUCCAGCCAUGCCGCGUGAGUGAUGAAGGCCUUAGGGUUGUAAAGCUCUUUUGUCCGGGACGAUAAUGACGGUACCGGAAGAAUAAGCCCCGGCUAACUUCGUG
rnacentral:rRNA from 1 species